AACGUAGGUGGCAAGCGUUAUCCGGAUUUACUGGGCGUAAAGCGUGUGCAGGCGGGCCAUCAAGUGGUGUAUGAAAUCGCUCGGCUAAACCGGGCGGGGUUAUGCCAGACUGGUGGUCUAGAGUGCGAGAGAGGGGCGUGGAAUUCCAGGUGUAGCGGUGAAAUGCGUAGAUAUCUGGAGGAACACCGGUGGCGAAGGCGGCAUCCUGGGACCGGCAUUGACGCUGAGGCGCGAAAGCCAGGGGAGCAAAGCGGG
rnacentral:rRNA from 1 species